CGGGUGCACUGAUCCGGCCGGGCCUUUCCCUCUGUGGAACCCCAUGGCCUUCACUGGCUGUGCGGGGGAAACAGGACUUUUACUGUGAAAAAAUUAGAGUGCUCCAGGCAGGCCUAUGCUCGAAUACAUUAGCAUGGAAUAAUAGAAUAGGACGCGUGGUUCUAUUUUGUUGGUUUCUAGGACCGCCGUAAUGAUUAAUAGGGACAGUCGGGGGCAUCAGUAUUCAAUUGUCAGAGGUGAAAUUCUUGGAUCUAUUGAAGACUAACUACUGCGAAAGCAUUUGCCAAGGAUGUUUUCAUUGAUAAGGAACGAAAGUUAGGGGAUCGAAGACGAUCAGAUACCGUCGUAGUCUUAACUAUAAACUAUGCCGACUAGGGAUCGGACGAUGUUAUUUCUUGACGCGUUCGGCACCUUUCGAGAAAUCAAAGUGCUUGGGCUCCAGGGGGAGUAUGGUCGCAAGGCUGAAACUUAAAGAAAUUGACGGAAGGGCACCACCAGGGGUGGAACCUGCGGCUUAAUUUGACUCAACACGGGGAAACUCACCAGGUCCAGACACAGUGAGGAUUGACAGAUUGAGAGCUCUUUCUUGAUUUCUGUGGGUGGUGGUGCAUGGCCGUUCUUAGUUGGUGGAGUGAUUUGUCUGCUUAAUUGCGAUAACGAACGAGACCUUAACCUGCUAAAUAGCCCGUACUGCUCUGGCAGUUCGCCGGCUUCUUAGAGGGACUAUCGG
rnacentral:rRNA from 1 species